CAGCCUGUACAGUCACAUUGCAGGAAUGUGGCUCUUGCAUGCAAUCUCUCCACUUCAUUGAUAGGUCCCUAACAACUUUGCAGCCUGUGAGCCAUGAGCAGCUGUGUACUGCUGAUGUUCAACAAACUCAGUGGAUCAUGUCCUGGACUGUGGCUUUCAACCUUAAAUCACAGUACUUCUCUUUGCUUAAAAUUCCUGUGCCAUUCAUAUAGAGUUUUUGUGCCUUCUGUUAUAAGAGAUUUUAUUCAAAACUCAUUGGAAUUACUUUUCAUUGACCCAGUUUGUUGAACUAUGGAGUCAGAAUUACUUAGGCCAGAAGUCAAAG
rnacentral:lncRNA from 1 species